rnacentral:rRNA from 1 species
UAGGGAAUCUUCGGCAAUGGACGGAAGUCUGACCGAGCAACGCCGCGUGAGUGAAGAAGGUUUUCGGAUCGUAAAGCUCUGUUGUAAGAGAAGAACGAGUGUGAGAGUGGAAAGUUCACACUGUGACGGUAUCUUACCAGAAAGGGACGGCUAACUACGUGCCAGCAGCCGCGGUAAUACGUAGGUCCCGAGCGUUGUCCGGAUUUAUUGGGCGUAAAGCGAGCGCAGGCGGUUAGAUAAGUCUGAAGUUAAAGGCUGUGGCUUAACCAUAGUACGCUUUGGAAACUGUUUAACUUGAAUGCAAGAGGGGAGAGUGGAAUUCCAUGUGUAGCGGUGAAAUGCGUAGAUAUAUGGAGGAACACCGGUGGCGAAAGCGGCUCUCUGGCUUGUAACUGACGCUGAGGCUCGAAAGCGUGGGGAGCAAACAGGAUUAGAUACCCUGGUAGUCCACGCCGUAAACGAUGAGUGCUAGGUGUUAGACCCUUUCCGGGGUUUAGUGCCGUAGCUAACGCAUUAAGCACUCCGCCUGGGGAGUACGACCGCAAGGUUG